AACUACAGCAGAAGCCACCAGAGGCUGGCAGACACUCUAACCCUUCCUCCCCCCGGAAAAGGCUGAUCUCCUCAGCUCUAACUGGUAGGAAGGGGAAUUUCGUGCUCCUCUCUCUACAGCGUGCUCCUCCGCACCGCCCUGCCCAUUGCUUGCUGAUGUCCCUGCUGUGUGGAUCCUGGCAGGUCCCAACCCUUCUCUUAACUUCAGUUUCCUCAUCUCAAGAAUAAUGACCACUACAGUAACAGCAGGUGUGCGGCCGGGACCGCCAGGACCGCAUCCAUCCUCAAAAGGCGCUGGCGAGCAGCCUGCAAAGGAGGAUUCACUAUCUCAACUCGAAGAUGAGGAAGCAGAGACCCAGCCAUGGUGGGCCCCUGUCCCAGGGCUCAUGCCCGUGUAGGGUGGGCAGCCAGGCCUAGAACCCAGGACAAAAGUGGAGUGGGGUGAGAAGAGGCAGCCAUGAGGGGCCCAUCUGGUGGCCUCAGCAUGUUAAGAAACAAAUGGGUCCCCAGGCUAGGGGCACAGCGCAACAGAAGCAUCGAGGGCCUCUGCUCUGAGAGCCUCGUUCCUUCCCUCCUGACGAGCUGCAGUGGGCAGAUGGAUUCACAUCCAGGAUAAAUCAAAGUUGGGGAAGGAACUUUUCAUUCAUAACAGCCUCUGUUUACAGAAGAGAAUCUUCCAAAGAGUGGAGUCUCCAGGGGAGGAAAAAUUGCCAAUAGCGUCCUGAAGGCUAACAGCUGGUGGCCACAGCUUCCCGGUGUGAAGCGAGAGAGGCAGGGGUGUGCGCACCCAGGGAGGCGGUGCUCCUGCUGCCCACUCUGGGCAUCGUCACUCCCUUUUACUGCCCCCUUCACUCAGGCUGGAAGCCCACCUUCUAGCAGCCGAGUGCAGCGGGGGAGGGAUUCUCCUUCAGCCCUCAGAAUAUUUGGGAAGGGAGAACAGAAGUGGGGGUUGGUGUGAGGGGUGGAGUGUAUUCUCGGCCUGCCAGCUCCCAACCCCUGUCAUCGGGAUAUCCACAGGUCAAAAGCCCUGGCUUUUCAUCCCACAGGGCCACCAAGCCUGUGAGACGAGUGCAGGACCUGGGUUUCUGAACCCAUUUUGCAGAGAGGGAAGCUAAGGCACUGUGGGCUGUCUUCCUCUCUGCUGUCUCUCCCCACCAUCACCCCAGAAUGCCCACAGGACACGAUACCAGGUCAGCCCCCACCAGCACAGCAGAAAGUCCCUGCCCGACAGCAGCAGCUCUGGGCAGAGGGGGUUUCCAGGAGUCAGUCUCCGGGAGGCGGGGCAGGGGGUGGGGCACCCACAGACUAAUGGGGAGGCCCCACGACUAGCUCAUUCCCUCCCCCUCCCAACAACUCCCUGCUGGAGGGCAUUGGUGGGUUCCUGAUGGGGCCUCAGCAGGAGAGGUGGAGAAGCUGGGAGGUCUUAGAUGCAACUCCCUGCCUCCCAACUCUGAGAUGGGAGGCUGGGAAGGCACAGAGGAGACACCUGAAAAGGAGAAGGCCUAGUUCAAGUCCCAACUCUGCCUCCACUUGCUGUGUGACCUAAGGCAAGCUGCUUACCCUCUCUGAGCCUGUUUCCUCACCUUGAGAGAGCCUGAUCACACCUACCUUACGAAGCUGUAUGGGAACCUGCUCUGUAGACUGGAAAGUGCCGUCCAGAGGCGAGGGGGAUUCAGGCUCUGCCCCUGGCCACACAGCACUGAGGACUCAUGCAGCUCUGUGCUUAAAGCGGCUGGGGGCCCCUCCUCCUGUCCAGCAGCCAUCUCCAGUAGUCCAGAUGCUGGGCCUUCACCUCCCAGUUGCCAAGAAAAGCCACAGGGAGGGGAGGAGGGAGAGCAGAAGCUCCAACCAGCAGAGGAGCUCAACACUCAGGAGGGCAGGGUGAGAAGAGAAGCUGGAGACCCACCUUGACCCUCCUGUGGUCCAGGGGGAAACUGAGGCCCAGAGAAACUGAUGAUUAAAUCAAGGUCAGCUGUCCAGUUACAAGAGUAGCUGGAGCUAAAAGCUAGGCAGGGGAGGGGGCAAAAGGCAGGUGGAGGAAUGCACGGGUCGGUAGGCAGACAGACGGACACACAUACAUGAAGGAGCUUACUUUGGGGGCCAUCCUUUCCACUUCACCAGAUACUCGACUUUACCCUGAGAAGAGAGAGAAGCAGACACAGUGAGUCUCGUGGUUGCCCCUACAGCCACUCGGAAGGACAGUUAAGGCCCAAAGGAGCCCAACCCAAACCCCAUCUGCAGACAGGUGUCUCCCCAACACACAAACACAAUCCAGGGACUGUCCACCAGAUCCUCGACAACCCAUAUAACCGUGACUGCUGCAUGACCACCCCAUACUGCCCUCCCUAGGACAGCACAGGAGUGCAUCUGGCUCCAACCACCUCUGAGGCUCCUGAGGCCCAAGCCCAGGCCUCACAUCACACAUUGGGAGCUGAGACUGCAUGGAGGUGUGCGCGCGUGGCCAAAGACCCACAGUGUCUAGAGCUCCCGUGCACAGGUCGGAACGCUUACUUUCUUUUUUAGAUUGGAAGAGUCGCCAAAUACGAAAACAUUCCUCUCUGGGGUAGUCCCCACGCUCCUCCCCCAUCUGCUGAGUCUCCUCUCAGUCUCUGAGUGGCUGCCUCUGGCUCAGAGGUAAUGGGCCAGUGACUUGACGACUCUCAACUCGAAAGACCCUGGCAGGACCCCAUGGAAGACUGGCGAAGUCUCCACCUUCAGAAGGGGUGGUGAGCCCUGUGGUUGUUAGAAAGUAGAGCCAGGCCCCUCCCUUCCUCACAGGCUUUAAAAAUUUACAGUUACAGUGGCUCAAGCCUGUCAUCCCAACACUUUGGAAGGCUGAGGCUGGAAGAUCGCUUGAGCCCAGGAAGGAGUUUGAGACAAGCCUGGGCAACAUGGUGAGACCCCCGUCUCUGAAAAAAAGGAAAUUAGUCGGGCAUGGUGGCACUUGUCUGUGGUCCCAGCUACACAGGAGGCUGAGGCAAGAGGAUCGUUUGAGCCGGGGAGGUUGAGGCUGCAGUGAGCCAUGUUCAUGCCACUGCACUGCAGCCUGGGUGACAGAGUGAGGCCUUGGUGCCAAGAAAAAAAAAAAGUUUACAGUCCAACCCCAUUGUGAGUGAAGCCCCUGCACACCAGAACUUUAAGACCAAAAUAUGAUACCUCCUCAUAGAGGUUUUCCCUGGUGACCCUCUCCCAUGCUGUCUCCACUGGCACCUUGCAGUUCUAUUUCUGCAGAGCACACAGCUCCAACUGAAGGCAUCUGUCUGUAUCUCCUCAUUCACUGUGUGCCGCCUCUGCAGAAUGCCAGCUCCCUGAGGGAAGGGAUGGAUCCCUGGGGCUUAGACUGCUGCCUGGUACCUGAUAGAUCCUCAAUAAAUAUUUUGAGUGACUGGCCGAAGGAA